rnacentral:sRNA from 1 species
UUCUGAAGACCACAGAAAGCAUCAAACCGAGACUAAAAGUUUUUUAGUUUACAGUGUGUGGAUAGAUUCGAAGGAUUCAGGAAGCUGGACAGGAAAGGAAAUCAUACACUGAGUUUCUUAAGCUCUCUUUGGCUAAACCAUUCCACAACCAUGAAUGUAGAUGAGGUGUCCUCCCUCCUAUAGUUACUAGAUGUCCCUGGGAUUGUGUCACCAACAAAAAACCAUGCUUUUCCAUGGCACAUUUCACCUUGCACAUAUCAAAACCUCUCUAUCCACCCCUACUCUGCAGUUACAUGGAUCAGAGCUCACUCUCCAUUACAUAUAAUUGGCAUUCUUCUGUCCACUGACAUCCCUAUGACCUCAGUGACCAACUCCUGGGCACCUCUGAGCAUUGCAGUCAUUCUGUAACUGAAUAGUAAAGUUGCAGGUUCUAUGCUGGUGACAUAGUAAUAGUCAUUGCUUCUCAGGUUUUUAUGUUUAUAUUGGUUAGUGACAAAGAGAUAAGUUAGAUCAGGUCAGCACACAGGAUAGAUCUUGAUUAGCUAGGACAUAGCACCCUGUGGUCUGUACCCCAGGGUCUUUAAAAACUGUAUACCUAAGUACCUAUAUUUUAAAAUCAUCAUAUAAUUAGUUCAUAUUAAGUUACUCCAUUACCGUUUUGUGGUCUGAACACGUUUAUAGAUAUGUUUCACUCUAAUUGGCUUUCUUCACAUUUUUCUAUUAUUUUAUUCACACACUCAUGAAUAUUCUGAGAAGCGAGCCAUAGCCUUUAUCUGAAUCCCAUCUUAACAUAAGGCCAAGGAGCCUGGUGUGAAACAGGAGGCAAAUGGCUUUGGGGAAUGAAAUGUGCUUUGAUGCCAAGAUGUCCAGGUACCAAGUAGGAGGGAGAUGGGCAGGCAGCACAGAGGAAGCUAUGCUUCGGCUGGGAGGAGCUAAGAGAGAUAUGAGAAAGACAUGCUGUUCAGCCAGAUGGGGCUGUGUGUCCCAUCAAUCACUUAGCAUGACUCUCAGGUUCCCAUUCACUGAACCUUCAGUGAUACAAUCUGCCCUUAAGAAAGAAGGCCGUGAGUCUGGAGGGCUGGGGACACAGGUGAGCAAAACUGUUAGGCGUCGUGACUGGGCACAGUGAGGAGGGGCAUAAAUAGAAGGGGGUGAAAUUAAGGCAAUCUGUUCUGUCAUUUCGCACAAGAGGCAGAUCUGUAUUUUGUUUAUGAUACUGCAGAUCCUUUUAAAUGACAGACGGAAUCCUUAAGGGAUUUGAAGGCACAGAGAGGUAAAUGACAGGAUUGUGCGUGGAAUAAAUCAGGUAUCAUAAAUAGAAACCAUUGAAUUAUGGGAAGAGAGGGGGGAUAGGAGGGAGGGAAGGAGGGAGAGGGGGAGAGGGGGAGAGGGGGAGACUCUGACCAAGACAUGGGAGAGACGGAAAUAACCUAAAAAGGAAAGCAUAACUCAUCCUAUGAUCAAACUCUGCCUAGGUAGAAAUAGCCACACCCUAUGAUUGGUUGUAGAGAAGCCUGGUGCAAGUCACCAGGGCCAUCAGCCUCACAGUCAAGGUAUUCUAGUCACUAUGAGCAGAAGAAGUACUUUCCACUGAUGCUUCCAACUCCCUUACCUGUCACCUCAUUUGUUUCACAGUAAGAGAGAGAGAGGUGGGGGAUUUUCCACUGUCCUCCAUUCUUCAGGGGAAGGCCAAGUGGGGGGGGGGUGUCAUAUAAUAACAAUUUUCUCCGCUGUUCAGAAAAUGAAUCUCCGUGAACUCUGAACAGCUGUGAUUUAGUGUUUUGUUCAGUGGGAGGGUUAAGUGCAGAAGUGCUGAAGGGACAGGUGGCAGUGGGCACGCUUGAGAUUUGGAGAUGCAACAGACCAUUCUCAAGUUUACAGAGACUGACAGUGUCAGCCAUGAGCCAAGGACCAGGGAGGACACAACAGUGUCCAGGUCCCCUGUCAUCAGCGUCAACUGUAGUCCAGGUUCUUUUUCUUUGCCCACAUUCCCCACUAUAUAAACAUCCUAGCAUGCCUACGCUCCUCCUUGAAGAGUCAAGUAACGUGAAGAAUUCCUCCGGAACAACUGGAGUAGAGAAAACCUCUUUACCGCCAGAGCUGUGGGAAUGCUUCAUUUUCCAUCACACAUCAAAAGUAAUGACUGUUCUCCAGGUGGUUUGCAUUUACUGACUUUACAUUGGCUCCUGCAUUUGGAUUCUACAACUAGACGGUUAAUACAUAACCAAAAAAAAAUGUGAAGGACACAGAACUUUCAGGCCACAAUAUUCUCAUAUUCAUUUGUCCCCAGCUGUCAAACUCUAAGAUUUCUGAAAAUCAGAGAAAUCCAGGAAAAUGGUAAUGAUUCAAGUAGCCUUACAUUGAAGCUAAAACACCUAGCCAUAAUCAAAUGUUGUGGUAUGAGUGUUAUGAUCAUGAAGGAAUUGUUUUCUUUCCUUCUUUUGUUGGGCCAGUUAAUUCUAGUUGAACAUCUUAUAUUUGUAUAUCUUAUAUCCUUGACCUCCUUUGGUCAACUGUAACUUGUUACUGGAUAAUUUAGAAAGUUUGGUUGCUUUAAUUAAUGCAUUGCAUUUUGUUUUCAAGCAGUGAUAACAUUGUAAAAUUUUAAAAUAGCUUGUUUUCUGUACCCUACUUUAUUUACUGUUAUAUUUAUUAAUAAUUUAACAUCAUUCAACCUCUCCCUGUCAUGGACAAUAUUACUUAGAUUAACAGAGGGGGAAAAAACCCAUUGAUUUAGGAAAUGGUGAUUCACACCUAUAAUCUCAGCAUUAGAGAGCUGAGGAGGGAGGCAAGUCUGGAACUUAUUGUGAGACCUUGCCUCAAAGAUAACAUACAAACCACACGCAUGCCAACAAAUCCAGCCUGUAGUGUACAGAACUUCCAUGUCUAUCUUCAGCACCUGCCUUAUCAUAUUCACACACCUUAAAUUCCCUUUCUUCGCGUCCUGUUGAGACAAUUAUUUGAUCUCAAGUGACCUUUUGUCAAGAACAUAGCCCAGAAACCUGGAUCAACCUUUGGAAGCAGGUCAGAGGCAGUUAGCAAUUCCUAGAGUCCGUCCAGUAUUCAAAAAACAGCCGGAUUAACGACAACAACAGCAACAGCAGCAGCAGCAGCAGCAACAACAACAACAUCAUCAAGAAAACAUACCCUUUGACCCAUCCAUGCGGAUGGCGUAGUGAAGCCCCCUAAGAGUACAAACAAGGCUAGAAGGCUAACUGCAAUGCCUCUAAUUACUCCCCAUCCAGUGAGAUGCUAUCUGCUCUCAGUUUCUGAAUAUUCCCCCCAUCCAGAAUCAGGCAGAGAACUCCUUUUCUCCCUGGAGUCCUUCAAACACAGCACUGCCAUUUGGUGCCUGUCCCAGGAGCCCUAGAACACUUGAAUUGCACCAGUGUGCGAAUGUUUUGUUGCAAUUCAAAUGCUGCUUGGGCCCUCUUGGACCUCAGAGCUUCUGCUGGAGGAAACACCCGCUGACUGAUGUUGGGCAGGACUCCCACUGACCCACACCCCCUGCUAGGCCCUUGGCCUGCACUAGCCAGGUUAGGCCACCUCAGGCCAGACCUGCUCAGAAGAGGACCCUCGAUAGACCACGAUGCAGGUUCCUGCCUGCAGUUUGUCAUCUCCACCGCUGAUUUCCUGACACCCCAAAGGACCUUGGUUUUCUUCUCAAGGUUAAACAAAACAAAACAAAACUCAAAAAAGAAAAAAAAAACCUUAGCUAGAAAUAAUCAAAAGAAUAACAAUAAUAAGAGGAAAUAAAAGAAAAAGACCCUCCCCACAACAUGAAGAAUCAGAGAUUGCUAUACCCCAUCUGAUGAGCCUGUUAAUUUCGAGAGUUAAUGACAAUCUGCUCAUUCCAAGGCUUCCUGGUUAAUUCCCGGCUGUCUCCCAUGUCCCUCACCUGCCAGCCUUCUCUCUCUGGUGUUUUUCCAGAUCGCAUCCAGCGCCCUGGCGGUGGAAUCCCUGAUGUGGUCGCUGAAGGACCUCCGCAGCGGGCCUCUCAGGGGCCGAGCCAUCACGUGGCCCUCGGGGUCCCCCAUCCACCCUGGAGUGACUUCGGGCGGAUCCCCAGGACCCUCGUUCUUCUCCGGCGCUCAGGACGCAGGCAUUGCGGCUGGCGCUGCGGCCUCGGGACGCGGCUGCAGGCGGCCUCUUGGCCCGUAGCCCAGCGCGCGCCGCGGCCACAUCUGGAAAGGCUUAGGGCCAGCGGCUCCCGCGCCCGCUAUCGGGAUGCGCCCGGUGUAACCCAAUCACCUCGCUCGCUGUGCGGCGCCGCGUCCUGGAGAUGGGAGCCCAGCCGCUCCUUCCCGGAGAUGAAGCAGAGAGCCGAGCAGGCUCUGGGCUCCAGCUGGCAAGCUACAUGACUGCAUCAUCGAGCCAUGCGCGCUCCCGCAGCAGCCCUGUCCUUGCCAACACUUUCUUUGCUUAGCAAUGCCUCAGAUCUUCUUUUCCAGUUUCAAGGCUCCUGUCCCCAUAUCCACUCCAGCUUCUUCGGACAACUCCAGCUCCCUCAGCUAAAAUGUUCUGUGUAUCCUGAGAAUUUUACAGCCUAGUGCUCGCCACUUAUCUUGCUCAGCAGGCUGCUUUCGCACUGAAGGGACGCGCUCUCAAGACCUAGAGAGAGGAAAUCCUGAGACAACUAAACAAGCAAAGCAGGAAGGCAGCGCAUACCAACAUCACUUGCACCCAGCGCCGUUCCCCUUAUCACAUCAUUCAAGUGCAAGGCAGAGGAAGUGAGAGCUGAAGAGAACAGAGCACUAAUGUUGGCUGCACUUAGAUCAAACUGGAGUGGGGAACAUCGGUUCCAUCAAGGGGAACCUGAAGCCUGUGGCCUCCCUAAAGAACCCAGAGCAUGUUUGGAUUUGUGGAACGUUUACUCAGUAUCACCGGGCUGUUUCUAUGGUGACAAAAUUGUGAAGAAGAUGCUCCUGGUGUUGUUUUUCCCACCAUGUCUGAGUAUCUUUGGUCCUGUCACCGUUUUCUUUUACUCUGAGGCACUUAGUCCUUUUCCUAUCAUGCUCUUUAAUGUUAACGAGGGCCUAACAGCCACUUCCUCAACUUACAAAGCCCAGGAUUCUUUUUUUUUUUCCAGAGCUGGGGACUGAACCCAGGGCCUUGGGCUUGCUAGGCAAGCGCUUUACCAAUGAGCUAAAUCCCCAACCCCAAAGCCCAGGAUUCUUAUUGCUUUGGUGUUUGAUAAUAACACUCUCUGGGCUGCUUCAAGAUGUAAAGAGCUUAGCUCUGAAAGAAGGAAGGGCAUAUGUGCAGGGCUGUAGGGAACUUUACAUGUAAAACAAGAACGUGGCCCA